rnacentral:rRNA from 1 species
CCGUUCUCAGUUCGGAUUGUAGGCUGCAACUCGCCUACAUGAAGCCGGAAUCGCUAGUAAUCGCGGAUCAGCAUGCCGCGGUGAAUACGUUCCCGGGCCUUGUACACACCGCCCGUCACACCACGAGAGUUUGUAACACCCGAAGUCGGUGAGGUAACCUUUAUGGAGCCAGCCGCCGAAGGUGGGAUAGAUGAUUGGGGUGAAGUCGUAACAAGGUAGCCGUAUCGGAAGGUGCGGCUGGAUCACCUCCUUUCUAAGGA